AACGAACGCUGGCGGCAUGCCUAACACAUGCAAGUCGAACGAGAACUUCGGGUCUAGUGGCGCACGGGUGCGUAACGCGUGGGAACCUGCCCUUAGGUUCGGAAUAACUCCCCGAAAGGGGUGCUAAUACCGGAUAAUGUCUUCGGACCAAAGAUUUAUCGCCUUUGGAUGGGCCCGCGUUGGAUUAGCUAGUUGGUAGGGUAAAAGCCUACCAAGGCGACGAUCCAUAGCUGGUCUGAGAGGAUGAUCAGCCACAAUGGGACUGAGACACGGCCCAGACUCCUACGGAAGGCAGCAGUGGGUAAUAUUGGACAAUGGGCGAAAGCCUGAUACAGCAAUGCCGCGUGAGUGAUGAAGGCCUUAGGGUUGUAAAGCUCUUUUACCCGGGAUGAUAAUGACAGUACCGGGAGAAUAAGCACCGGCUAACUCCGUG
rnacentral:rRNA from 1 species